UGUUGAUGAUGUGGACAGUCCCACCGAAGAACUUUGAACCUCUCCCAUGCAUGAUAUAAGUUCUCAUCUGGCCUCUGUUUGAAGCUCACAAUCUCACUUUGCAGUCU
rnacentral:snoRNA from 1 species